AAGUCGUAACAAGGUUUCCGUAGGUGAACCUGCGGAAGGAUCAUUACAGUGUUUCCCUGCCCUUCGGGGUAGGAUCGCCACCCUUGAUUAUUUAUGAGUGUUGCUUUGGCGGGCCUCGCGGCCUGGCCGCGCCCCGGCUUCGGCGGGGGAGCGCCCGCCAGAGGAUUCUACAAACCUGAUUAUUAGUGUCGUCUGAGUACUAUAUAAUAGUUAAAACUUUCAACAACGGAUCUCUUGGUUCUG
rnacentral:misc_RNA from 1 species